rnacentral:piRNA from 1 species
UUGCCAUGGAAGGGUAGCCUGGUCCU